AGCGAACGCUGGCGGCAGGCUUAACACAUGCCAGUCGAACGGGCUUCUUCGGAAGUCAGUGGCAGACGGGUGAGUAACACGUGGGAACGUGCCCUUCGGUUCGGAUUAACUCAGGGAGACUUGAGCUAAUACCGGAUACGCCCUUUUGGGGAAAGGUUUACUGCCGAAGGAUCGGCCCGCGUCUGAUUAGCUUGUUGGUGGGGUAACGGCCUACCAAGGCGACGAUCAGUAGCUGGUCUGAGAGGAUGAUCAGCCACACUGGGACUGAGACACGGCCCAGACUCCUACGGGAGGCAGCAGUGGGGAAUAUUGGACAAUGGGCGCAAGCCUGAUCCAGCCAUGCCGCGUGAGUGAUGAAGGCCUUAGGGUUGUAAAGCUCUUUUGUCCGGGACGAUAAUGACGGUACCGGAAGAAUAAGCCCCGGCUAACUUCGUG
rnacentral:rRNA from 1 species